GACGAACGCUGGCGGCGUGCCUAAUACAUGCAAGUUGAGCGAUGAAGGGUGGUACUUGUUCCUAUUGGGUUAGCAGCGGACGGGUGAGUAACGCGUGGGUAACCUACCUAUGAGCCGGGGAUAACUUCUGGAAACCAAAGCUAAUACCGCAUAAUAUCUUUAACCACAUGUUUCAAGUUUGAAAGAUGCAAUUGCUUCACCUUAUGAUGAUAUCGCGUUGUCUUAGCUAGUUGGUGAGGGAAAGGCUCACCAAAGCGAAGGUACAUAGCCGACCCGGGAGGGGGAUCGGCCCAAACGGGACCGAAACACGGCCCAAAAUCCUAAGGGAGGCAGCAGUAGGGGAUCUUCGGCAAUGGGCGGAAGGCUGGCCGAGCAACGCCGCGGGGGGGAAGAAGGUUUUCGGAUCGUAAAAAUCUGUUGGUUGGGAAGAACGAUAGGUGUAGUGGAAAGCGCAUCAAGUGACGGUAACUACUCAGAAAGGGACGGCUAACUACGUG
rnacentral:rRNA from 1 species